rnacentral:lncRNA from 1 species
UAUAUUGAUUUCUUUUAAAGUAUUUUUUGAAGUAGAGAAAAGGAGCAAGUAGGUAGCACCGAGGGCAAAAUGACAGGCUUUGACUGGGGAGGACCUGGAUUCAAAUGUGACUCAGAUACUUCCUAGCCGUGUGACCCUGGACAAGUCAUUUAACCCAGAUUGCCUAGCCCUUGCCACUAUUCUGUCUUAGAACUGAUACUAAGACAGAAGAGGCAACAAGGAGUCAUUGCAUCUUCCUAAGCAGCUACAAUUUAAAUAUCUGUCACCAGGUAAAAAGUGGUCACUGAGAUAUGGCUAGGAGGUUCAAAAAGGUAGGUUUCCUAUAGCAUGUCGGCC